AGCAGUGUGGUUCAGUGGAAAGAACCCGGGCUUGAGAGCCAGGGGUUAUGGGUUCGAAUCCCAGCUCUGCCA
rnacentral:tRNA from 1 species